UGAUGCUCUACCGACUGAACUUGUCUUAGUAGCAGAUCCAGGAAAAAGAAAAGGGGGAUUUCAAAUUAACGAGCGCGCAGUACAAACAUUUUUGGGAGUUACGCCCACUUCCGGUCACACGUUGUGCAGUAAGACUAUAGGGAAAUCCCAUGCAUUCUCAGCCAGGGUACACUGUAAAAACUAGUGGGUCAUUGUAACAUACUAGUGGGUCAUUUAAACUCAUGAGCAGUGGGUCACACACGGGUCAUAUCCACAAAAGUGGGUUAAAUGGUGAUCCAAUGGAUGGUUAUGUCGAUUUUGACCCACUUUAAACGAAAUAACCCGUAUGUUAACUGAAGAUGGGUAAGUUAAACCCAGUAUACAAGAGUCAUAUUAACCUUCUCAGUGAGUUCAUAAUUAUUACUCAGUAUUGUGAGUCUAAAUUACCCACCCUAAAAUAAUUCCCCAGUCUAUAAAUAAAUAUCUAUAAUUAUUUAUAAUCAUGCAUUUAGAGGCACUUAUACAAACAUGUCAGAUGCACAAAGAAGAGUUGAAGACACUUUUUUUAAGAGGUAAGAUACAGAAUUUACUAGAACAGUAUGCAGAGCACUACUUAACAACUACACUACUCACCACAGAUAGACCUUUACUACGGUACUGAAUGCUAAGGAAACCAACCAAAGACAGGUUGAGUGCUGCUGAGAUAAAAACUUUUAAAGGAAGACUCGGCAACCCUCGACCUCAUCGUACUCUAAAAACCAGGGGGUUGACAGAAGAGAGCAAUAAUAAGUGACUAGAUCUGAAAAAACCUUCUGGAGACAUCCUCUGGAUUGCUUGCAGUUACGAAGAGGAAUGUCCCGGUUUGCUGGGCGUAGGAGAGAAUUCCAAGGAGAACAAUUACUUGAACAAUUGCUGGUGACAUUCCAACGUUGUAUAAUUGAUUUACUAUGUGCACUAAAUGCUAAUGUUGAUUGUGUGCUGUUGAUUAUGUAUUAACAAA